CGCCAUUACCUGCUUUGAUUGCAGUAAAGAUUAUACACAAUUGUUUCCUGCAUAGCACUGUAUCAUGAGCAUUCAUCCAUGCUGCUCCAAAGAAAACUGAUUAAGAAGCAAGAGGUAGCUGGCCGAUUAUUAGCACUGUCUAUACCAGAAUCAGAUGGACCUGUGAUACAGACAACAGCUGUGCUCUUCAUGAUGAA